rnacentral:lncRNA from 1 species
GUUGCAAAGGCAGAGAGUGAGAAGUGAUGACGGUGAUCGUUGUCGCCGCGUCUUCUGUGGAACCCAAGCAGUGCCGAAGGAAGUCGCAAGGCUCUUCCCCGACCAUUUGCUCCUCUCCCUGCGCGAGCCUCAGCUUACAAUGUAGCCCAAGCUGGCCUUGGAUGUGUGGCAGUUGUACCUCUACCUACUGAGCACUGAGAUUAUAGAGAUCUAGGCUUACAUUGCUAUUAAGCCUCCAACAGCGGCAGCCAGAUGGUGCAGUGUUUUUGAAACAGGCUUUGAUAAAUCCACAAAGGAGCCACUUGAGGUUGCAUCAAGUAACCAAUGAGAACUAACCAGGACAACGACCAACAGAAAUGCCCUUUUGCCAACUGACAAAUGGUGCUGUUUAGUACAGUCGUCUCGUCAGACCUCUCAGAUCCAGGCCUCUGAGUUGGUCCACCUCAGUAUCUACCUCACCUAUGAACUGCUGGAGCAUGUGAAGGGGCCAGUCCUACAGAUCCAAAGCUGCAGGAUCUCCAUGACACAGGGCAACCGGAUCUCCAAGAAGAGUCCUGAUAAGGACCUAGUAUUAAUGGUAUAACAGAAGCCAGAGGCCUUAAAGCACACCAAUGAAUAAUUGCAAUGAACAUUUGCAGGUAAAGAAGUGUGGACAAAGGGUGUACUGUGGGACAUACUGUGACACACUGUGAUACACUACAGCUUCGUUUAUUUUUAUUUUUUAUUUUCUUUGGGGUGGAGAUUGCAAGGGUGGAGAACAGGAGACAGGGAGAUGAAUGGAAUUGGGGUAUGUGAUGUAAAAUUCACAAAGAGUCAAUAAAAAGU